UACGUAGGGGGCUAGCGUUGUCCGGAAUCAUUGGGCGUAAAGCGCGUGUAGGCGGCCAGGUAGGUCCGCUGUGAAAACUCGAGGCUCAACCUCGAGCUGUCGGCGGAAACCAUCUGGCUAGAGUCCGGAAGAGGAGAGUGGAAUUCCCGGUGUAGCGGUGAAAUGCGCAGAUAUCGGGAAGAACACCCGUGGCGAAGGCGGCUCUCUGGGACGGUACUGACGCUGAGACGCGAAAGCGUGGGGAGCGAACAGG
rnacentral:rRNA from 1 species